AGGGCACAUGAGCUGUGGACAUGACCAAUGUCCUGGGUGCUCUUCCCACUGUAGGAAGUGCCUGCUACCUCCCUGCCACCUCUCUGGGCCCUGGAGCCCCCUCUCCCAGUGAGUACAGUAACGGGAGUGGGUGGGAUCCAAGGACAUCCAUGUCUGUCCUGUAGCUUGCCUGCCCUGCCCCUCACCUGGACUCCCUCAGUCCUGUCCACUUGCAGUGGGAAGGUGCUCCCUAUUGGAGGGGCCAAGGGGUGCAGCCAGCCCAGUUGCUAACUGCUCUCAGGUCUUACCUACCAGCCAGACUUUCUUUCCACAGUGGGCUGUUGCCUUCUGCUCUAGGGGUAGUUUCAUGUUGGCCAGGCUUCCUGCAAGACAUGAGGGGUCAAUUCUCAACCUUUCCACGUGCAGGUGACCCAGCCCAGGCCUGCACCUCAUCUUGUCCUGAGGUGCGGGAAUGUGGGACCCUGGCUGUCAGGCUCUUUAAACCUUGAGGGCCCAUGGUAGAGUGCUGCCAUAUAGACCGUGGGGAAGGCGUUCCAAGCAUGAGUGGGGAAGCAGCAGCCUGUGGGAGGUGACCCUACCUCUGAUGGCAGCUUACAGGGAAGGAUGCUGGGCUGAGCACCCAAUCCUAGCUGCAGUCCUUCCCCUGCUGGUCCACUGAUCAUGCUAGCUGGCUGUGUGCACCUCCUGGGGAUGUCUGCCCUGUAGGUUCUGCUAGCCCUGUAGCCUGCUCGGGUGUUCCCACGUGGGUGAUCUCCCUGAAGCCCUUAUCUCUCCAGCUGCUGCCCCAACUCCCUGCUCACCAAGUACCUCAGGGGAGAUGCCCAACAGCAGUGUUUGUACUUAGUAUUCAGGGCCAAGUUAUUCAUGACACUUGUUGAAGAUGGCAAGGCAGGCCUUACCCAGAGUAGGGCCGUGGCUGUGAGUGCAGUGGGGGGAAGAGGCUGAGUACUGCUCUGACAAGUGGAGAUUUGUGCCAGGAGCAGGACAGGGUUGGUGAUGGGAAGUUACUAAGAGGACUCACCCCAAUGGAGGUUCUGGCUAAACCCACCUAAUGGGAUUGUUGGGUUUUUUUGUUUAAUUUUUUUCCAGUUACAGUUGAUAUUUAGUAUUAUUAAUUUUAGGUGUAACGGGAUUGCUGUUGAAUGCAGGCAAGAAAUCAGAUGUCCACAGGCAAUGAAGAACCAGACUAGAUAUGGAGGGUGGGGGUUCUUGCCAGAGCUGGCAGUGUAGAGAUGGAUCCGGAGGCCCAAGGCCUGGUUGGACAGCUUUGGGGAGCCUGAGAGUGGUGGAGCAGAGUACCGGGUGCACUCUUUAGUUGGGUGGGAUCUCCCUGCUGUCCCUCUGAUGCGUCCUACUUUCCCCAUGACCCCCGUCACCUCACCCGCCUUGGGGAGUUAGUCACUUCGCAGUGGACACUGAUGACCCCCAGUAUCCAGACCUGGGUUGGGCCUUCCCCAGGUGGUGAUAGGGGUGGGGUGGGGCAGCAAGCUUAGAGCUGACUCUGCUGCUCCCAGUGCUUCUCUCACACCCCUCUACCAGCAUCUAGUCCUUGUCAGACAUGGCAGUACUGCCUCUGGAACAGCUCCCACCCUCCGCAUUUACCCCGUGGUGCUCCACGUGUCCCACAACAGCAAAGCUGGGGCCCUGCAAAGGGCAUGCCUGUGGCUUUGGACCUGCUGUCCCAUGCUGGAGGCCCCUAAGUUCAAGGACAGGUCUGGAGCUCCCAUGUGGGGAAAGCGAGGCUCAAACUUAGUGCACGACAGGAUUGGGGCUCAAACCGUUCCUGUAGGAGCCCCAAACCCUCAAAAUCAAGUGAGGGAGUCAGCGGAGGCGGUAGGAGAGCAGGUAAAGCCUUUUCAUUGCCCUUCGCUGAGUAUCCACAGGCCUCGUGAGCUAGGGCAGCGUCCUGUAAAAGAACCUGUACAAAGGACUGUGUAGAGCAGGAGGAUGCCACUGUUUGAAGUCCCAAGUCUGCAGCCACCCUACGAAGCGGGCCUUGCAUUCAUUAGACCAUUAUCACCGAGUCUGGUCUGUGACCAGCGAUGGUGACAGGCGAGAUGCAUUUGUCCAACGAUCAGCCCGCUGAGCCAUCAGCAAUUAGCAGCAGGUGCUCGUGCGGAGCCUCCGCUAGGACCUGGGCGCAUUUUCUCCCCGGUGUUGCUGCAGAACAAACGCAGUGCCGAGCGCGUCCAUGCUCCUGUGACCACAGCAGGGUCCCUGCACCAUGGCCGCCCCUGGCUCCCACAGCCGCGGACGUGACGGCGGAAACCUUGGUGCAGCUGGAGACUUGUGUUCCCAGCUGAUCUCCGGGGGUGCCUGUCUGCUGGGCCCGGCACAUGGCGCACAACGGAGACGGUGACUUUUGGGCACCGCCCCUGGAUCCUGGAGUCACACAAAGUGACUUUUAAUACCCGCUGUAGUGCCAACGGAUCGCUCGAGUUCAGCUUCCGCGCUUUUCCCUGGCGGUCGCGAGCGCUGCGCGCGUAUGCGCGCGGGGUUGGCAGUGCGCAGGCGCGAACGGCGACGCGGCUGGCGCGGGCAUGACGUUACAGCGAGCGACGUAGGCGCGGAAGCAGGCGCCGCUGGGGAAGAGGCGGCCCCGGGACCCGAAGGUCCGGGGGCGGCGGGUGACCCUUCACCAUGUUCGGCUCCAGCCGGGGCGGCGUACGCGGGGGGCAGGACCAAUUCAGCUGGGAGGAUGUGAAGACCGACAAGCAGAGGGAGAACUACCUAGGCAACUCGCUGAUGGCCCCGGUGGGCCGCUGGCAGAAGGGCCGCGACCUCACCUGGUACGCCAAGGGCCGGGCAGACGGCGCGGGGCUGAGCCGGGAGGAGGAGCUGGCGGCCGUGAGGCAGGCGGAGCAGGAGGCGCUCAUGGCAGCGUUAGGCUACAAGAACGUGAGGAAGCAGCCCACCGGCCUGAGCAAGGAGGAUUUUGUGGAGGUCUGCAAGCGGGAAGGAGGUGACCCCGAAGAGAAGGGAGUGGACCGGCUCCUGGGCCUGGGGAGCUCCAGUGGUUCCGCAGGCCGAGUGGUGUUGUCCCGAGAAGACAAGGAGGCGGCUAAGCUGGGGCUCUCGGUAUUCACGCACCACCGCGUGGAGAGCAGUCGCCCAGGGGCCUCACCAUCCCGGAAGAAGCCUCGGCUGGAGGAGAAGGCAAAGGCGGAGCUGGGCUCUGAGAGCCACAAGAAGAGCAGAAAAAAGAAGAAGAAGAAGAAAAAGCACAAGAAAGAGAAGCGAGACAGGGAGCACAGGAUGGGGGCAGCCUCCUCACUGUCCCCGGCUCGUGCCCGUAGAAAGUGAUGUGUGAGAAUGUGGCAAAUACCUUGGGUUCCAACAAGACCACCCGAGACCCCACUGGGAGAGUGACUGUCCUGGUUGCGCAGGGCGAGUGUUGGGACUCAGCUGCAGGUUGGGUGGAGUUCCAGGUGCCCUCAAUCUUGCCUCCCCCCCUCCCCAGGAGGUGUACUUGAACCAUGUACCACCCCAUCCACAGAAGAAAUGGAAACUUACAUCUUACAGCUGCAUCGGAGUAAAGACAAAACCCAGGCUGGAUUCACUUAUGAAAUAUAUUCAAUUUUGCUUCUGAUUUUCAAAGAAACAAAAACUAAAAAUGAUUGUCUUCAGAGCCUCAGCCCUGAUUCUCACUCAACCUCUGACUGUUAUCUCAGGCUGGGCAGGGCAGAGGGCCACACAUGGGGCUGGACGCCUCUGGGGAAGUACACCUUGACCUUGGCUUGGCCACGGGGCGCAGGGGUGUCCAAAAGGGCUCUAGGUCGGAGGGACGGCCACCAAGAAGCAGGUAGGCGGCCCGCAGCACCCAACUGGGCACAGGUGUGCACCAUGGCAGAAGCUCCCCAGGGAAGGACAUGGAGCUAAGCCAGGGGUUCUUGUCCUGCAGGGGGGUGCACACAAUCCCAGGGCACAGCCCACAUGGGGACCCUGAUGGUCCUCUCAAGGCCUGGCAUGGCCAAGAUUGGACCAGGAGACUGGGGGCUGGGCUGCCAGUGGGGUGAGACCCAUGAGGGUCCCAAGGGCGCUGGACACACCCACCCACCCAUUCCACAAUGAAGGUGGGGUGGGGAGAGUCAGAGAAGAAAUGGGGUGGGUCCGGGGUGGGUUACACUUUGUAAGUUGUCCCUGCCCACAUUCUGGGAGGCAGCCUUUGGCCAGCAACACCCAAGUACUAGAAAGCCAUGAAAUAGUUAAGAGAUUUUAUUCUAAUAGCUAUAAUUACAGUGCUUGUCGAAAUGAAAACUGAAAACAAGUAUACAAAACAGUUGAUUACUAAUUGUGUACUGAAAGCAGUAAGAGGUUCCAUGACACCAGAUAAACCAGUUCUGAGGUUUUCCCCAAGAUAAAGUUUAACAGCUCCAGCUUCUUCAGUGUUUAUCAAAAUACAAAAGAAAAAAAGUAGAGGUUGUCGUUUUUGAUGGCAAAUCUGACCGACCCUUGCAGGCUGAGGGAGUGAAAGCACAUGUAGACGGGGGCUCGAAGGGGCUGGACUCUAGGAUGACCCACCACCCAUCUGCCUGUGCUCCUGCUGGUGAGACCCAGACACUCUGGAGCGAGCAAGCAUGCGUGGCGACCACAGGGCUCCCGCUCUGGCCAGAGUGGUCCCACCAAAGUACCCACACUGACCCAAGGGAAAUUUGGGGUCCCUCCAAGGUGUCAGAGUGGUGGCCAUAGCCCCCAGCCCAUCCCCUGGGUGGCGGAGUUAAGCACAGGUACAAGCACAAACGCUAUGGGAUGCAGGAUGACCCAGCCAAUCACGGGGACCGUAUGUGACCAUGCAGAACAUAUCAUGGCUGGUUCUGCCUGCCACAUGCUCCAGACAGGAGAGACCGCAGGUGGACUGGACUCAGGCCAUUGCUGCAGAACCUACACUAGGCACAUUUCUCCCUUCUGUGUGUUCAAGUGUCUCCUUAUUUUGUAUUUGUAACUAUUUUAAAAAAUGCACUGAGUUUGGGUUAAAAACCAACCACCAAAA